rnacentral:snRNA from 1 species
GUGCUCGCUUCGGCAGCACAUAUACUAAAAUUGGAAAGAUACAGAAAUUAGCAUGGCCCCUGCGCAAGGAUGACACGCAAAUUCAUGAAGCGUUCCAUAAAAAA